rnacentral:lncRNA from 1 species
AUGGCAACACCUCCACGGAAAAAUGAUGGCGGCCACAGCAAGACGAGCGAUGACUAUUUUUUUUAAAUAUACACAAAUACAGCACUACGCACCCCAAAGCGCCCUUUGGCUCCCAGGACACAGGGCUGUGUUUAAGACAACAGCAUAGGAGCUCAUGACAAGACUAAUUAGGAGCACAAGGGGAGUAUGCAGGCUCAGGACCGAGAGUUUGACAAUGAAUUAAGACCUGGGGCUUUGGGAUACUGAAAUUUGUCAACAAAAUUAACAUUCCCUUUCCUGGAAACUCUCAAGCUGAAGGAGUUUACGAGGACCUUAUUUUAAGUGUCCAACUUGGAGGGAAUUAUCAGAGAGAGAGAGCGAGAGACGGUAAAAACAAACAGUAGCCGCCAUCAGCCCCUUCAACAGCACUGUAAACCUAGCCAAGGAUGGGUUCCCGCCCACUGCUUCUCACAGCCGUUCUCCUCUGAUGCCUUCGCAGAUCGGAAUUUGGGGAAGGAGUGGCCUCCAUGACCUCAACAUCAGAAGCCUAGAGGGUCUUUGUGGCUUAAAGGGCUGUGACACGUGAAGUACUGGCUGCCGAUUGUAGAGGAGAGAUUCCUGGGCAAGUGCAGAGUUAUAUAGAGUGCCCUUUCUACCUGACACACGAAAGAAAUGAGCUGUAACAGACGCCAGCGGCAGGUGCAGGACCUGUGAGCUUCACUCACUGUGCCCCAGUGUUUGGGUUCCUGCGCUUUGAACCGCCUUACUUUAAGAAGCCUUGUCAUUGGAAAAUUGACCGCAGCUGAUGGCUUCUGUCAUUUGUGCUGUUGUUUGGAGGGCAGGGCUCUGCGUCGCUUUGUCAGGCCGCACAGGGAAUGCGCCACCUCCGGCCCGCACUGUCUGCCUACCCAGACCCACAAGGCUCCUCAAAGCCUCCUCACCAAGGGCUGACUCUUUUGCCUUGUUCUUUCUUUUUCUUUCUGUUUAUUCUUUCAAAACAUGUACUCCUUUUAGGCAGUUGCGAGAACUUCUACAAUAAUCUGUGUUCUAAAUUUUAGGAGCCACAAUAAAAACCUCUCUUUUUU